rnacentral:rRNA from 1 species
GUGAGGAAUAUUGGUCAAUGGACGAGAGUCUGAACCAGCCAAGUAGCGUGAAGGAUGACUGCCCUAUGGGUUGUAAACUUCUUUUAUAAGGGAAUAAAGUGAGGGACGUGUCCCUUUUUGUAUGUACCUUAUGAAUAAGGAUCGGCUAACUCCGUGCCAGCAGCCGCGGUAAUACGGAGGAUCCAAGCGUUAUCCGGAUUUAUUGGGUUUAAAGGGAGCGUAGGUUGACAUAUAAGUCAGCUGUGAAAGUUUACGGCUCAACCGUGAAAUUGCAUUUGAUACUGUAUGUCUUGAGUGUACAAGAGGUGGGCGGAAUUCGUGGUGUAGCGGUGAAAUGCUUAGAUAUCACGAAGAACUCCAAUUGCGAAGGCAGCUCACUGGGGUACAACUGACACUGAGGCUCGAAAGUGUGGGUAUCAAACAGGAUUAGAAACACCGGUAGUCC